CUUUCAUGUUUCUGAGUUCCUUUGGACUAGAUAGAGUCAGAAAAUCUAAUGAAAGACCUCCAAAGGGAGACCCUCACUCAAGUCUCGGGACAAUAGCAGACCCCUAAGAACUCACGAGAGA
rnacentral:pre_miRNA from 7 species